rnacentral:rRNA from 1 species
UGGGGAAUAUUGGACAAUGGGCGAAAGCCUGAUCCAGCCAUGCCGCGUGUGUGAAGAAGGCCUUUUGGUUGUAAAGCACUUUAAGUGGGGAGGAAAAGCUUAUGGUUAAUACCCAUAAGCCCUGACGUUACCCACAGAAUAAGCACCGGCUAACUCUGUGCCAGCAGCCGCGGUAGUACAGAGGGUGCAAGCGUUAAUCGGAAUUACUGGGCGUAAAGCGCGCGUAGGUGGUUAUUUAAGUCAGAUGUGAAAGCCCCGGGCUUAACCUGGGAACUGCAUCUGAUACUGGAUAACUAGAGUAGGUGGGAGGGGAGUAGAAUUCCAGGUGUAGCGGUGAAAUGCGUAGAGAUCUGGAGGAAUACCGAUGGCGAAGGCAGCUCCCUGGCAUCAUACUGACACUGAGGUGCGAAAGCGUGGGUAGCAAACAGGAUUAGAUACCCUGGUAGUCCACGCCGUAAACGAUGUCUACCAGUCGUUGGGUCUUUUAAAGACUUAGUGACGCAGUUAACGCAAUAAGUAGACCGCCUGGGGAGUACGGCCGCAAGGUUA